UAAGGAAGGCAGCAGGCGCGCAAAUUACCCAAACCCGACACAGGGAGGUAGUGACAAAAUAUAACAAUGCCGGGCCUUUUCAGGUCUGGCAAUUGGAAUGAGUACAAUUUAAAUACCUUAACGAGGAUCCACUGGAGGGCAAGUCUGGUGCCAGCAGCCGCGGUAAUUCCAGCUCCAGUAGCGUAUAUUAAAGUUGUUGCAGUUAAAAAGCUCGUAGUUGGAUUUCUGGCGUGGUGCGCCCGGCCCGCCGCCGCUAAGGCGGCGAGUGCCGGCGCGCGCCUGCCAUCCUUCCGGAGAGCGUGCCUGCCCUUCACUGGGUUGGGCACGCGAUCUGGAUCGUUUACUUUGAAAAAAUUAGAGUGUUUAAAGCAGGCUUACGCUUCUGAAUACAUUAGCAUGGAAUAAUAAGAUAGGACUUUGGUUCUAUUUUGUUGGUUUCUAGGACUAAAGUAAUGAUUGAUAGGGACAGUUGGGGGUGCUAGUAUUUAACGGCCAGAGGUGAAAUUCUUGGAUUCGUUAAAGACUAACUAAUGCGAAAGCAUUC
rnacentral:rRNA from 1 species